rnacentral:rRNA from 1 species
CCUACGGGUGGCAGCAGUGGGGAAUAUUGCACAAUGGGGGAAACCCUGAUGCAGCCAUGCCGCGUGUGUGAAGAAGGCUUUCGGGUUGUAAAGCACUUUAAGCAGGGAGGAAGGCUAUAAGGUUAAUACCCUUGUAGAUUGACGUUACCUGCAGAAUAAGCACCGGCUAACUCCGUGCCAGCAGCCGCGGUAAUACGGAGGGUGCAAGCGUUAAUCGGAAUUACUGGGCGUAAAGCGCGCGUAGGCGGCUUGUUAAGCUAGAUGUGAAAGCCCCGGGCUCAACCUGGGAACUGCAUUUAGAACUGGCGAGCUAGAGUAUGGCAGAGGAGUGUGGAAUUUCCGGUGUAGCGGUGAAAUGCGUAGAGAUCGGAAGGAACAUCAGUGGCGAAGGCGACACUCUGGGCUAAUACUGACGCUGAGGUGCGAAAGCGUGGGGAGCA